GGACAUUUUUCUCUGUUUAGUGUCUAGAAAUUUAAUUGACCCACCGUUUCCAGUCGCCAUAAGUUUCAAUAGUUCCGAGUUCCGACGGUUUCGACAUUUUUGUGUUAAUUCUUCGUAGUUAUCGUGUAAUUAAAUACGAUUUUUGUGAAUUUUACAUCGACCAAAAGUGUCACUGCUUCGCGGACAUCCAGUCCGUCCAAACGGACUGCGGCCCUUAAAACAAUUUGGAAUGCUCUAGCAAACCAUUUGCUAGAGUGAGAGAGAAUUUAAAAAUGCAAAAUUGGAACCAAUGGCAAUUGUCAGCUGGUGCUGUUGCCACUCCAAUGCCACAACCACCAGUUGGUUAUGCUACACCAGGAGCAGAUCCUAUGGCUAUGAUGCAAGCUUACAUGCAGUAUUAUAAUCAACCAGCACCUAGUGGAUAUACAGCAGAACAAUGGGCUGCAGCUCAGCAACAAAACUGGGCUCAGUGGCAACAAUGGCAACAACAAUAUCAGCAGUGGCAAGCACAAUAUGGGGAGAAGUAUCAGGAAACAAUGAAGCACAUAUCAGCACAGAACUUGAACUUAGCUAGUCAGGUGCCACAGUUACCAGUUGUGCAACCUCCGCCACCUCUUCCAAAAGAGGAUGCAAAACCACCAUUGCCUCCAACCACAAUGAAUACGUAUCAGUUUACAAGCAUGCCUCCACCCCAUCAAAACAAUCUUCCAUUAUUCCCUGUUAAACAAAAUGCAAAUACCUCGGUGCAGCAGGGAAACGUUCAAAAUUGUCCUCAGAAUCCUCCUUUACCUCCAAAUCAACCUCCAUUACCUCCUGACAGUAGUAAUAAUAGUAAAGAGAAUAAUAAUGUAAUUGGUAAACGUAGUAGUAACGCCAUUAGUGAAUCUCCUAGUGCUAAGAAAUUGAAAGUUGAAGACGAAGAACUAACUGAGGCCGAGAAAACAUUUGACGCCCAGUUUAAACAGUGGGAGGAACAGUUUAAUAAGUGGAAACAGCAAAAUGCUAAUCAUCCAGACAAGACCCAAUACAAGCAAUACGAAGCGAAAUGGACAUCCUGGCGAGAGAAGCUUAUUGAACGACGCGAGCAGAUGCGUAGGAAACGCGAACAACAAAAGCAAGUUACUGCUAAGGCAGAAGUCGAAAAGAAUAAAAGUUUGCCGGGUGAUGAUAAAAUAAUGAACAUUCUGUCGAGUACGGAGAAUCAGGGAUUGAUUAAUAAUUUGUUAGGCAUUGGGAAAACUCUUGGUUUAACUGGAAAGCAAAAUGCUAACGUACCUCCACCGCCACCUCCACCACCAGCUACCGAAACCACAGCGUCUAACGUUCAAACAACUAUGACGUCCUCGUCCCAAGCAACUUCGCAAUCAGUACCUCAGUUAUCAGUCAUGAACAUGAUGAAUUCAUCACCUUGGAAUUCUCAGCAAUGGACGCCACAGUACAACACAAACGUAUCAAAUUUUCCUAAUUUUCAGUCAAUGUCUGGCGUAUCCCAAGUACCAUUUAAUGGCCCGCCAACUCAGAUGCCUCCACCAAAUUUUACACAGCCACCACCAAACUUUUCAAGCGUACCAAACUUCUCGCAGCCGCCUCCAAGUUUUGCUAAUAACGAUUCCAGACAGAAUCAAAAUGCACGACCCUCGGUUCCACCAAAUAUACAAGGAAGACCUCCUCCGUUUGGCCCAAAUAAUAAUAGCGGUCCAGAUGGAAGUCAUUUGCACAACGAACGUCCAGGUCAAGGUGGUCCCAUAAAUAAUUUCGAAUCAGUAAGUCAUCCAAAUAAUUUUAAUGAUUCUAAUCGAGAAAAAGACGGAGUACCAUUAGAACGUUUUGCUCGAGAUGGUGUCGCUGAUCAACCGAGUAGUCAGUUUAGAUCCAAUGAUAUGUACGGUCAACGGAAUGAAAAUUAUAAAUUAAACGAUGAUCGGGGGUCCGAAAGUGAUCAGUUUAGAAGGGAGGAUAGAAAUUAUCAAGACUUUGGUGGCAAUCAGUUCAAUCAGCACAAAAUGAAUUUCAAUAACGAUAGAUUUGGUGCUGGAAAUGAUCGUUUUGGAUCUGGUAACAACAGAUUUGGCCCAGGAAACGAUAGAUUCGGACCUGGAAAUGAUCGAUUUGGUUCAGGAAAUGAUCGAUUCGGGUCUGGAGACAAUAGAUUCACUGGUAACGAUCGAUUCGGUCCAGGAAUGGAUAGAAUGGUACAAGGAAACGAACCUGUUAACGAUCGUUUCGGUUCAAACAAUGAACCACCAUAUGGACCAGGGGGUGAUAGAUUUAAUAGAAAUAACUUGGAUCGUUUCGAUCAAAAGGAUCUAGGCGACAGGCGCGAUGGCUUCCCAGUUGCUCCACGUAAUUUCAAUAGAAAUAAUCAAUUUGAACCAUCGGAUAAGUUUGCUCCAGAACUGAAGAAACUUAUGGAAAAACGAAGAGCAGCUAUAGAUGUAUUUAAACCGAGUUUUCUUGAUUCUGAUAAGAACAGUAGUGUUGGAUCUUUGAGUGAAAGUUUUAAGAAGAUUACCGGUGAGUCACCGUUUAUGAAAACUUCUUCCAAUAAUAAUUUUGGACCUCGUGGGUCUUCCAAUUUCGGGCCAAGCGGGCCUGGUAAUUUCCGAAUGCCUGGGGACUUUAAACCUCCAGUAAACGCAGACUUUGGGCCCCGAUGUCCUACAGGAAUUGGACGUAACAAUUCCUUCGAACUGCGAGAUGGAGGAACUGCUCCGUUUAGAGGACCUACUUCCAGCCCACAGCAAGAGUUUAUAAUUACCGAACCUAGGCCAGAAAUGAAUAAAGAGAAUAAAAAUGAAUCUGUUACUGGGGUGGAGCAGCCAGUAGUAAUCUUAAACGAUCAGAAUGCUGAUAGCGUUCAGAAAGAUAGUUCUGAAGGUUAUCCAGUACAAAAUGAGAUACCAUUAUUAGAGAAACCACCCUGGAUCGAUGCCCAGCUUCCUGAAAAUACUUCAUUGCAAAAGGAUAAAAGAGAUGAUAAUUUGCCUACAAAUUACAAUCCCUCAGAGCAUAUCCCUCAGGAUACUCAGAAUGCAAUCAAUAAAUCGACAGAAGGUAAACAAGAAUUAUCUGGUAGUGAUAAUAAAAAAAUAGAAGCAUUACCUUUCAUGGGAGAGAAUGAUCCGAAACCUGAAGAUUUGAACAUGGAGCCACCACCAGAGUUACCAAAUUUGGGACCUGUCUCGGAUACCAACGAAGUGGCUGAUCCUAUGCGAGGAACGAAUGAACCGUAUGAUGUAAAAGAGUCUUCCUUAAAACCUUUUCCAAAUAAUCCAGAAUGCUUUGAACCUAGAGAAACUUUUGAUUCUGCACUCGGUCCAAGAGGAAUGCAGUUCAGACCAAAUACACCUUUUACUGGCCCUAGAGGUUCUACCGACAACAGAUUUCCUGCGUUUGAGCCUAGAGGUCCAAAUUCAUUUCCAUUUAAUCCUCCGGCAUUAAACCCUUACCCAUUAGGUCCUCGAGGUCUCAACGAUGGACAGUUUGGUCCAAGAGGUCCUAACGACACGCAGUUUGGUCAAAGGGGUGUCAAUGAUGGAUUAUUUGGGCCUAGAGGUCCUAACGAUGGUCCAUUUGGCCCUAGAGGUCCUAGUGGAUCAUUUGGACCAAGAGGCUCUACCGAAAAUCAAUUUGGGCCAAGAGGGCCUAAUAAUGGACAGUUUGGACCUAGAGGUUCUAACAAUGGACAAUUUGGCCCUAGGUAUGACAGUCAGUUCGGACUAAGAAGAUCUAACGAUGGACAGUUUGCUCCUAGGGGACCAAUCGAUGGACAGCUUGGACCUCAAGGACCUAAUAAUAGACAAUUUGGUCCUGGUAGGCAAAACGACGCACCUUUUGAUAACUCUGGACAAUUUACUCCUAGAGUACCAUCUGAAACUCAUAGAUUUCCAGGACCCAAUGAUAGACUGUUCGGUUCAAGGCGCAACGAAGGACCCUAUCAACGAAGUCCAAAUGGUGCAAAGGGAACCAACAAUGGACAGUUUUCCAAUAUGUCUGACGUGUAUGGGUCUCAGAAUUCCAAUGAUGCGUACUUUGGAUCACGAGGUCCAAUGGAUGGGCCAAAUGAUAACAGACAAUGCGAUAUCAGAGGAAUUGGGGAAUUCAGAUCAAAAGGGCCGGUUGAUAAUAAUUCUUGUCCUAAACUUAGAGAGAGUUCAGAGGCAGCUGGUUCUAACGUUCGUGGCGAUGGAUAUGAGGCUGCUAAUCAAAUGCGGAUAGAACAGAACAUAUCACAAGGACAAUUCGAUACUGAUGAUAUGUCGAAUCCAGGUUGGAGGAAAUCGUAUCCUAAGAACAGUUUUGGUGAUACUGAUCAAAGAUCUAGACGAAAUUUUGGUUUCAUCGACAAACCUUUGCUUGCUCAAAAUGAAACAUUUAAUCAAGAUACUAUAAGUAAUGUAGAAAGACGUUCUCCGCUAAAUGUAAAUAAAUCUAGCAUACCUGAUAGAUCAGAAAAGAGUAUGGCUGAUUUAACAGCGGGAGAUUAUAAAAGUGGGUACGGGGAAUCGUCGUCAGGAUCUGAUUAUACAAAGUUUGGUGGUCCUAGUAUGUUCAUGAAACGAUCAAUAGAUAAUAGACAGUCUCAAGUCAGGUGUCCAGCUGUUAAAGAAUUUUGCAUAGAAAAACAGUUUAAUUAUAAUCAUGGCGGUGCGACAACUGAGAAGAAAUUCAUUGAACAUAUACCUGCUAAAGUAAUCGAUUAUGCCCAUACAACUCGUUCAAAGAUUCAAGAUCACUUAACUCCUGUGCAAUGUUUCGACUAUGGACAUGGUAAUUUAAAACCAUCGGUGCCUGAUCAUGAGGUGUAUCCGAAGAAAGAUUUCAGAAAUUGGGAGGAGAAUGAACAAAAUUUGAAAGAGUACACGGAAAAGAUAAGGAGGUACGAAUAUUAUGCGGAGAAAACAGAUUCUAGACGUUCCAGGAAUUAUAAUAAAAAAAGGAAUAGCGAGGACUUGUAUGACGAGAGAAAACCUGAACGAGAACGUAGAGAAAAGGAAGAUAAUAAAGGAAAAGGAAAAGUGGAUAGGAUAUUUGAUCAUAUGUCUGACAAAGAUCAAGAUAUUCGAUAUGAAAAGAAUAGCAAUAAAGAAAGAACACGGGAAAAAUGUGAAACUUCUCACAAAGAGAAUAAAGAGAAUGACAAAGAUGAAGACAGAUCAAAAGGAAAUAAAAACUGGCAGGAGAACACAAGCAAGAACAUCAUAGAUACAAAGCCACCAGAUACCAGUGUUACAGAUCCUCAGCACAAUGUAUUGGAAUCUGCACAAAAGACUUUGGAAUUGGCAAAAACACCAAAUUGUACUAUGGUUGAUGAUUUACUGUGUCCUCCAGGUCGCCAGAACAGACCACCGAAAAUAGCUAUUAUUUUAAGAGGUCCACCAGGAAGUGGAAAAUCAUUUGUAGCAAAACUUAUUAAGGAUAAAGAAGUUGAACAAGGAGGUUCUGCACCAAGAAUUUUAAGUCUUGAUGAUUAUUUCUUGGUUGAAAAGGAGAUAGAAUCUACGGAUGAUAAUGGAAAAAAGAUUACGAUUAAGGAGAUGGUUUAUGAAUACGAAGAAGCAAUGGAGCAAAGCUACAUUACAUCACUUGUUAAAGCAUUUAAAAAGAAUAUCACUGAUGGUUUCUUCAACUUCAUAAUAUUAGAUUGUAUUAACGAAAAAAUAUCUGAUUACGAAGAAAUGUGGAGUUUUGCUAAAACUAAAGGUUUUAAGGUAUAUGUAUGCGAAAUGGAAAUGGAUUUACAAAUCUGUUUAAAAAGAAAUAUUCAUAAUCGUACAGAAGAUGAAAUAAACAGGAUUAUAGAUUAUUUCGAACCAACACCAAGUUAUCAUCAAAAAUUAGAUGUUAAUUCAAUGUUGCAAGAACAAGCGAUCGAAGAAGUUCACAUGGAGGAUAGUGAAGAAACACAGGAGAGAUCUUCUGAGCAACACAAUGAAGAUAGUCAGGAUAGUCAAGAUGAUAUUCAAGAUGUGACUGGUGUAAGUAAAUGGGAACGCAUGGAAGCAGAGGAUAAAUUAGAUCGUUUGGAUGGACUUGCAAAGAAGAAAAAUGAGGGAAAAGUGCAGACAAUGAAAGAUUUUCUUCAAGUUCCUGAUUAUUAUAACAUGGAAGAUACCUCCGGUAAAAAACGCGUAAGAUGGGCGGAUUUAGAAGAAAGGAAAGAACAAGAGAAAAUGCGAGCUGUAGGAUUUGUAGUUGGUCACACGAAUUGGGAUCGUAUGAUGGAUCCUACAAAAGGAGGAAGCGCUUUAACACGCACAAAGUAUAUAUGAUUUAAUUUUACUUCUAAAUUAACUAGGAAAAAUUAGAAGUAAAACUAAUAUUACUUUGCUCGUUUUUCUCGCUAUCGUAAUGAUAGUCAUGUUUUUAUUCAACUACAGUAGUGCAAAAAUGUGAGUAAAAAAGGCGUCUACAACUUUCAGACUUCGUGAUACAACAUACGAUUUUAAUAUAGUCUUGUAUCCAUUUCACACAAAGCAUCAAAAUCGUGUUAACUUAUGUAAAACAUUGUAAUUAUUGUAUAUAACUUAGGAGAUUGUUCCAUUAUACAUUUUUAUAUGUAGUUUGUGCAUAAUGUAUUAGAAUUACAGCUUAAGUAUACACUGCCUGUUGAGGGUUCUGUUAUUAAAAAAUUAAAGUAUAUUCAUCAUUCAGUUCAAGAGAAGAAUUAUUGUAUGGAUACAAUAAGAAAAUAAUAAAUUGUAGAAAACUGUUUGAUAUUUUAUACUUCUAA